AGAGACCGGCGCACGGGUGCGUAACGCGUAUGCAAUCUACCUUUUACAGAGGGAUAGCCCAGAGAAAUUUGGAUUAAUACCUCAUAGUAUUACGACUCGGCAUCGAGAUGUAAUUAAAGUCACAACGGUAAAAGAUGAGCAUGCGUCCCAUUAGCUAGUUGGUAAGGUAACGGCUUACCAAGGCUACGAUGGGUAGGGGUCCUGAGAGGGAGAUCCCCCACACUGGUACUGAGACACGGACCAGACUCCUACGGGAGGCAGCAGUGAGGAAUAUUGGACAAUGGGCGCAAGCCUGAUCCAGCCAUGCCGCGUGCAGGAUGACGGUCCUAUGGAUUGUAAACUGCUUUUAUACAGGAAGAAACACCUCUACGUGUAGAGACUUGACGGUACUGUAAGAAUAAGGAUCGGCUAACUCCGUGCCAGCAGCCGCGGUAAUACGGAGGAUCCAAGCGUUAUCCGGAAUCAUUGGGUUUAAAGGGUCCGUAGGCGGUUUAGUAAGUCAGUGGUGAAAGCCCAUCGCUCAACGGUGGA
rnacentral:rRNA from 1 species